GAAACUGUCUUUGAGUGUGAACUAUAAGUCUUUUGACUUAUGACCAUCACUCUAGACGUUUAUGUUUUGGUGUUGGCCCUUGAUGCUCAUUUGAACGCAACGGACGUGAUUGCAACCCCUUGUUGAGAUUUAUCCGAUCUCUACGUUCACUGAACCACACUCUUUAGCGAGAGCAGUGGGGAUGUGGAUAAACUCGGGGGACUGCUGACUAUAAACUUUUCUCAAACCAGAGGAAGGUUGCGGCAAUAACAGGUCUGUGAUGCCCUCAGAUGUUCCGGGCUGCACACGUGCUACAUUUAGUAGCGCAGUGUGCACAUUAAUAGAGUGAUAGGUUCCGUGGUUUGUACAUUUUAAGGGCUCGUCCUAGUAACCAAAGCUCCACGGGACAUAUCAACCUUCCCCUUACAGGGCGGGUAACCUCUUCGAAGUGCUGGCAUGAUUUCCCUAGUUUUGGCAUUUGAAUCCUUGUCGCAGCAGCCCUGAGACGUAGUGAACGCUGCAAAGUGAUUCCAGUCUUAGGUUUGCGACACAUGCAAUUCCUGGUUGACUCAUCGUGGGGACUGAUUCUUGUAAUUAUUUUUCACGGUUCAACCAGGAAUGCCUUGUACCGGCGGCUCAUUAAACCGCUGGGAAUACGUCCCUGCCCUUUGUACACACCGCCCGUCGCUCU
rnacentral:rRNA from 1 species